rnacentral:lncRNA from 1 species
ACAAUUUUAGAGUUGAUUUGAGAAGUGCAAUCAUAGACAUAUCCUAUUUGGGGAGCUGAAGAAAUGGCGGAGAUAGAGACCGUUACUCUUGCAGCACACCAUGCAGCAAGGUGGGAUGUUGACACUGCACUUCCAGAUGUUUUCGCGGUUGCAGUCGGGUCUAAACGGUUCAACUUGAAUUGCAGACCUCAAGGAGGCAGGUAUUGCAUCUGUGGCGAUAAGAACUGGAGCUCUUUUGUUAAAUCAAAUUUGGGAGCAGUGGUUACUCUUUAUGCCAGAGAAGAGGGUGAGGACUUCCACAACCUACAAGUGACGGGGGGCCGGAAGGGAAGAGCUUGAUAAGCGUCUACAAAGCUUCAUAUUAAUAUAUAUUAACUAAGUUUUUAUUUUUGCUUUAUUUUCUUUUUUAUUUCUGAGGAAAUGCUAGGCUCACUCUUUAUGCUCAACAAGACGGUGAGAACUUCCACAGAAUGAAGGUGAUAAUGAGGACAACUAGAGAGCUUAUUUAUGUAAGGGUGUAGG